AGCAUAUAGAUAGCUGCUAUUAUGAUGCGACCGCGCACGGGUGAGUAACGCGUAUCCAACCUUCCCCAUAGUAGGGUAUAGACCCGGCGAAAGUCGGAUUAAUCCCCUAUGUUGUUUGAAGCGGACAUCUAAUUCAAACCAAGAUUCAUCGCUAUGGGAUGGGGAUGCGUCUGAUUAGGUUGCAGGCGGGGUAACGGCCCACCUGGCCGACGAUCAGUAGGGGUUCUGAGAGGAAGGUCCCCCACACUGGUACUGAGACACGGACCAGACUCCUACGGGAGGCAGCAGUGAGGAAUAUUGGUCAAUGGGCGCGAGCCUGAACCAGCCAAGUAGCGUGCAAGGAUGACGGCCCUACGGGUUGUAAAACUGCUUUUAUGCGGGGAUAAAGUGCGGCACGUGUGCCGUUUUGCAGGUACCGCAUGAAUAAGGACCGGCUAAUUCCGUGCCAGCAGCAGC
rnacentral:rRNA from 1 species